GACGAACGCUGGCGGCGUGCCUAAUACAUGCAAGUAGAACGCUGAAGCUUGGUGCUUGCACCGAGCGGAUGAGUUGCGAACGGGUGAGUAACGCGUAGGUAACCUGCCUGGUAGCGGGGGAUAACUAUUGGAAACGAUAGCUAAUACCGCAUAACAGUAGAUAUCGCAUGAUAGCUACUUGAAAGGUGCAAAUGCACCACUACCAGAUGGACCUGCGUUGUAUUAGCUAGUUGGUGAGGUAACGGCUCACCAAGGCAACGAUACAUAGCCGACCUGAGAGGGUGAUCAGCCACACUGGGACUGAGACACGGCCCAGACUCCUACGGGAGGCAGCAGUAGGGAAUCUUCGGCAAUGGACGGAAGUCUGACCGAGCAACGCCGCGUGAGUGAAGAAGGUUUUCGGAUCGUAAAGCUCUGUUGUAAGAGAAGAACGAGUGUGAGAGUGGAAAGUUCACACUGUGACGGUAUCUUACCAGAAAGGGACGGCUAACUACGUG
rnacentral:rRNA from 1 species